rnacentral:rRNA from 1 species
GACGAACCGUGCGAACGUUGUUCGGAUUCACUGGGCUUAAAGGGCGCGUAGGCGGGCGACCAAGUCAGGGGUGAAAUCUUUCGGCCCAACCGGAAAAGUGCCCCUGAUACUGGCCGCCUCGAGGGGGGUAGGGGCAUGUGGAACUUCCGGUGGAGCGGUGAAAUGCGUAGAUAUCGGAAGGAACGCCGGUGGCGAAAGCGGCGUGCUGGACCCCUUCUGACGCUGAGGCGCGAAAGCCAGGGGAGCAAACGGG